UAUAUACAAUGGUAGCAUACACAGUAUGUGAUUAUGGAUAUGGUUGUGUUUAUAUGCAAGACAUAAACUAUAAAGCUUAACAUAAUAUCCUCAGGUUUGUCUGAAAUUAGAAGUAGGAAAUUAGAGGUCAAUCAGGGGUUUAUGUCUCAUAAACAUUCCUGUAGUUUAACCAGUUGGUUGUAAUAACCUGUGAAUUGAGAGCGAUUGCGGACGAGCUACUACAUCACCGAUUGUCUUGUUAACUGACCAUCCCAGAAAUUUGGGCUUCAGUUUUGAUAAACUGAAUCUUAGAGGAGUACCCUGGUAAGAAGCCACCUGUCUGUGGCGGUUUGACGCAGAGGUGCACUUGUGAAGAGGUUUGAUGCGACAACGUUCACAACACAAAGCCCUAGAGGAGUUUCAAAAAUGGCAUAUGCCCAAAGCCCAAAGAAGGACCACGGCUGGUGGGCUUACACCUCCUUUGACAACUGAUGCCUGCCAGAGCGACAAUGUUGAUCAGAGCAACGACGGAUGUCGUCACAAGUCCCAAAAACAUCUCGAUCAAAA